UACGUAGGUGGCGAGCGUUGUCCGGAAUUACUGGGUGUAAAGGGUGAGUAGGCGGAAUGGCAAGUCAGAUGUGAAAUAUCGGGGCUUAACCCCGGGGCUGCAUUUGAAACUGCUGUUCUUGAGUGAUGGAGAGGCAGGCGGAAUUCCUAGUGUAGCGGUGAAAUGCGUAGAUAUUAGGAGGAACACCAGUGGCGAAGGCGGCCUGCUGGACAUUAACUGACGCUGAGGCACGAAAGCGUGGGGAGCAAACAGGAUUAGAUACCCUGGUAGUCCACGCUGUAAACGAUGGAUACUAGGUGCGGGGGGUACUGACCCCUCCCGUGCCGGAGUUAACACAAUAAGUAUCCCACCUGGGGAGUACGGCCGCAAGGUUGAA
rnacentral:rRNA from 1 species